GCUCCGUAGGUGAACCUGCGGAGGGAUCAUUACAGAGUUCAUGCCCUACCGGGUAGAUCUCCCACCCUAUGUUAUUAUUACUUUGUUGCUUUGGCGGGCCGUUAGGCUCCGGCCCGACUACCGGCCCCGGCUGGUAAGCGCCCGCCAGAGGACCCAAAACCCUGAAUAUUAGUGUCGUCUGAGUACUAUAUAAUAAUUAAAACUUUCAACAACGGAUCUCUUGGUUCUG
rnacentral:misc_RNA from 1 species